AUUUUUAAAUUUUUCCCGGUUUUUACGCUCGCGCGUUGGGUAUUUUGCUAGGGCGGAGGGCGGCCCUCCCAGUGAUGUGCGCCCUUUCGUUAUCCCGGCCUUUUUCUGGGGAGGGCAUCUGUGCUUCUCUGUACAGUACCUGAUCCAUAGCAAUUACUUUGAGAAAACGAUAGAGUUCCCGGCGGGCGCUCAUCCUAAACACAUUAGCAUGUAAAAAUAGCAUAAGACUACUUUCCCGAACUUUUUGGGUUAACGGAAUGGAAGAACGCAAAUAGGGAUAGCUGGGGGCCUUCGUAUUUUACUGUCAGAGGAUAAAUUCUUGUAUUUUUUUAAGACGAACUAAUGCGAAAGCUUCUGCCCUUGAUGUUUCUAUUAAUCAUGAACACAAGUUAAGGGAUCGAAGACUAUCAUAUAUCGUCCUACUCUUACCUUAUAUUAUGCCUACUAGAGAUUGGGACUGUCAACCUGACUCUUCCGCAUCUUGAGAUAAAUCUAAGUCAUUGUGAUCCUUGGGGUUUAGGCCAAAGGCUGAAACUAAAAGAAAUUGACUGAAGGUCACCCACGGCUGGAUCCUGCGGUUAUUUUGACUCAAUUGGGGAAACACACCAGUCCAGACAUACAUGGGAUUGACUGACUGAUAGUCUUCAUGGUUUAUCUGGGUGGUGAUUCCCGGAAAUAAAAGUGGAAGAAUUGCUGGUUAUUCGAAAAAACCAAAUACAACUAAACAAAAAGUUUCUAUC
rnacentral:rRNA from 1 species